UCUGGUGACCAUAGCGAUGGAGUCACACCCGUUCCCAUUUCGAACACGGCAGUUAAGCCCGUCCGCGCCGAUGGUACUUGGAGGUAGACCUCCUGGGAGAGUAGGUCGUCGCCAGAU
rnacentral:rRNA from 1 species